GACGAACGCUGGCGGCGUGCUUAACACAUGCAAGUCGAGCGGUAAGGCCCUUUCGGGGUACACGAGCGGCGAACGGGUGAGUAACACGUGGGUGACCUGCCCUCAGCUCUGGGAUAAGCCUGGGAAACCGGGUCUAAUACUGGAUAUGACUCCAUGACGCAUGUUGUGGGGUGAAAGCCUUGUGCGGCUGAGGAUGGGCCCGCGGCCUAUCAGCUUGUUGGUGGGGUGANGGCCCUACCAAGGCGACGACGGGUAGCCGGCCUGAGAGGGCGACCGGCCACACUGGGACUGAGACACGGCCCAGACUCCGUACGGGAGGCAGCAGUGGGGAAUCUUGCGCAAUGGGCGAAAGCCUGACGCAGCGACGCCGCGUGAGGGAUGACGGCC
rnacentral:rRNA from 1 species